rnacentral:tRNA from 1 species
GCCCUCGAAGCUCAACUGGCCGGAGCACCCGCCUCGUAAGCGGGAGGUACCGAGUUCAAGCCUCGGCGAGGGCC